rnacentral:rRNA from 1 species
AACGAACGCUGGCGGCAUGCCUAACACAUGCAAGUCGAACGAGACCUUCGUGUCUAGUUGCGCACGGGUGCUUACCGCGUGGGAACCUGCCCUUGGGUUCUGAAUACCUCCCCGCAGGGGAUCCUUAUACCCGGUCAUGUCUUCCCGCCAAAGCUUUUGGGCCGUUGUGUGGGCACGCGUUGGAGUAGCUAGGUGGUAGGGUAAAAGCCUCGCAAGGCGACGAUGCAUAGGUGGUCUGAGAGGAUGAUCAGGCACACUGGUACUGAGACACGGCCCAGACGCCGACGGGAGGCAGCAGUGGGGAAUAAUGGACAAUGGGCGAAAGCCUGAUCCAGCAAUGACGGGUGAGUGAUGAAGGGCUGAGGGUUGUAAAGCUGGUUUAACCGGGAUGAUAAUGACAGUACCGGGAGAAUAAGCACCGGCUAACUCCGUG